UCUUGUUCUAAUAAAUAUUAGUUGCUCCUAACCGUUUUUCAUGUUACGUGUGUGAUUCCAUAAUUAUUUAAUUAGAUUAAAGGAAAAAUAUAUUGGCAUCACACCAGCUCAAUUGCAGUCUUUCGUUAUCAUCAAAAAUAUGGUGGCCGGGGUACAUGACUCUCAUCAACAUUUUGAUAAUGUAAUUCGCAUACAAUGCUCAAUCAUUUUAAAAUUCUUCAUGCACAUCAGUAUGCCUUGUAUAUUCAAGUUGGCUUCUACUUUGUCUCAUGCUAGUGUUGGCUAUCCGUGCGGUAGCCAGAAAAUAUUAUGGGGGGUUCUAUGGGGACCUCCCAGAUGCACUAGUAAAGGUACGAUCUUGGCUAUGCAAUGCUAAACCUGCUGUGAUUCCAAGUUAUGCGGAUGUUUUGCAUGGUGAUUCUUCCCCUCCAAGAGCCAACGCAUGGAAACCUCAUCGAAAGAUUGUUCGCUUUUUUAGACUGCAAUGCUUGCAACAUCUUGGUAAGAAAACUUGCCUUAUUUAUUUUUGGUUAAGGAGAGCUGAACGCCUCUAGGUUAAUAGUGUUGAUAGUUUGUGUAACAGUUGUGAUCUGACAAAAUGGCGUAGGUGCAGGCUUGCUGGUGGAUAAACUUCAUAAUGUAGAGGUCGGAGUGUGUGCACACAAAGGGACGAUGUGCUCAUGUGUUUGUGCAGUACUACACGAACCUGACAUAAAUUCUUUUGCCGUUCUCGUCGACCUUCUAUUUCUUUCGCCCCAAUUAUUGUUCAAUCGACUCGCAUGUAAGAGUGUUUUCGAGGGAUUAGAGUAAUUUCAAGCGUAAACGCAGCAAGUGACUCAUACGCACCAAGGAACAGACGACAAGAUUGCGCCUUGCGAGAAGACAAGCGAACACAGUCUUAUCGUCUGUACCUUCUUCCUUCGUGCGUAUGUCAUUUGUUGCGUUUACGUUUGUUACUAUAUGACAUACCAGCCAGUUUUGCGUUUACUGUUUGCAUUUAGCGUAUAUGCGGAUGAAUUAGAAGAUGAUAUAUCGAUAUAUAUCGGAUUUCGUUGGCGGAAUAUUGGCAGCGACGUUCUGUGCGGGAAAAUGCAGGAUAAAAUUUGAAACUGCCAAAUUCCAAGUAAAAGAUAGAUAGUUGUGUUCGUUUUGAUAAAUACGACUAUGUAUACAUGUAUUUUGAUAUAGUUUAUCAUAAACUGCCCUUUACCUACAUCAAUACUUAUUUCUUGUUGCCGUUUAACGAAACUGACAGCUUCUGAUCUUUUUGUAUAGCUGCUGCUUGAGUUGAGAAUAUUGUUCCGUCCAACGAGAACUCGUCGCACAAGCGCAGCAGGGAUUUGAAGAUCUUUUGAUGAUCGUACAGGAAAACGGCACGGAGGCUGAACUACUACUCAUUGCAGAUAGCAACGGUGACCUGCGCGUCCUUGCCCUGAAAUUAAUUUCACGGAGAUGUAAUGAGUAGUCUUCGUCACUUAUCAUACAGGUGAGAACAAAAUACGCUUCCUUUGCAUGUAGGUAUUAUGUAUUUGCAUGUAGGUACAGUCUUUUCAGGAACAAGACCUGCUUCUCUGCCCCAUAAUCAAGCUCAUCGAUAUAAACAUCAUUGAAAGGGCAAUUUUAAAGCUCGAAGUGACAAAGGCUUGGGAGAAGUGCAUUGAUUUUGUAAGUUAUUUUAGGUACAGACAUGGCGCACUUUAUUCCUUGCGUGCUUUUGGUGCAAAGAACGAUACUGUUCUGCACCCACUGGUCUAGAUUUCUGUACCUGUGUAGUACCUUGCUGCUUAGAUUAAAUUUAUACCUUCAAAUUACCUGAUAGAAACCUUCUAAACAGUUUAUUCUGCACCUAAAGGCGUGGAUUUCUAUACCGUUACUAUACCCUGUUCUUAUGAUUAAUUUAUACCUCGGGGUAUAUAAUUUGAACCUCUAUAUGGUACAUAUUUUACUCCCCAAGGGUUACUUUGUUAUACCUUUGCUAUACCCUGUUCCUGGGAUUCAGUUUAUACCUUGAGGUAUUUAAGUUAUGCCUUGUGAAGGGUAUUCAUUUUGCACCCACGGGUCUACAUUUUUAUACCUUUGCUAUACCCUGUUCCUGGGAUUAAAUCUAUACCUUGAAGUAUUGAAGUUAUACCUCAUGUAUGGUGUAUACUUUGCACCCCAAGGUCUGAAUUUUCAUACCUUGCUGGAGGGAUAAAUUAUUAUACCUCACUUGGUGGUAUAAUUUUUAUCCCUUUUGGGGGAUGAGCCACAGGACAAGCCAUUUAUACCUUUAAAGGUAUAAAUUUGGCUGAGAGUGUACGGAAGAAAAAUGCCAAACAACUCCGCCGUGUCUCAACAAAGAUGCAAGGAGUUAAAACGGGUGCAGCUAUGUGAAAGCCAACCACUGCAGAAAUGCAAAUAAGAACAACAGUUCUAGAACCGGAUGUUCGAACAGGGGAAUUCAGAAGAUCAUACUAUGUGCAUGAAAAUAACUAGCACAAUCACAUAUGUUUGUAUGUUCAUGUGUCUUGCCUCAGAAAUUGAGCUCCAAUGUAUGCUUGAUUGCAUUUAUUUAGCAUUUGUUACAAGAGAGCAAAAGUCCUCAAGAUAUUGCAAAUCUAUAUUGUAAAUCUACUCAGUAUUGGCCAGUUAGAUCACACAACUUGGUUGAUUCAUUUUAUCAAGCUUUGUUUCACACCUCAAGGAAACGUAGCUCUUCGGUAACCUCAGUGAGCCAAACACGCAGUCCAGGUCCAGUUUUGGAUAUUUUUACUGGUCUCGUUAGCAAUACAUCGUUCCAAAAUACCACAAAUUCCAGCUGGAUACUAUAUCAAUGAGCCUGUUGCCUUGCACCUCAUCGGAGCGGCCCCCUGCUGGCUAGCAGGAAGAUAUCGAAUAAGAAACAGGUGACUGGCUGUUCUGUCCACCUCUCAGUGUGUGUGGCCACUCCUGUUUGCUGCUAGAGUGUCACUCCCAUGAAGAAAUGCAACACCCUGGUCCUCCAUAAACUUUUGUCCCAAUCUGUUCGAAUAUUGAUGCACAGAUGGUGUGAAGAAAGCCAUAGUAGCAGGGCAGUUUUCAACCAGAUUCCAAGAGUGUGCCAAGCAGCAGGAAAUACACCCAGCCAGAGGAUUUCUGUUGAAUUCAUGUUUAAGGACCUUCACAUCUACAUCAUUUACUCAUGAAUGCAACACUGUCAUGUGACAACACAUGACAGUCCAUUAAUGCUUUGAACAUGAAUUGAGCUUUACCCUCUGGUCGGGCAUGAAACAAUGAAUCUUUCAACAGCUCAUGACCCACAGUUUGAGAAACACUGGUGUACGCAUUCGUCCCAACAAUAAUCUGGCAUCCUUCAAAAACACCAUCAAACAGGACUUUUCUGCUGAUACGUAGGGUGACAUGCAAUUACUUUUUGAUGAUUUGCAUUUCUCUGCUGUGCAAUAUCUUUGCUAUUUUGUUUCUUAUACUUGUCGUGUGUUAUUGGUAUUUCUGUUCCCCUCAAAUUGUGUAGACAUUUGCACUGACUGUGUCUUGGACUGUUCAACAGGGCUUGCCCACUAUCAGUAUCCGUGUAUACUGUCAUGGAAUAACAAUAAAAACCUGAAAACUGAAAAAAAAAAAAGAA